rnacentral:lncRNA from 1 species
GAUAAGAAAGAAAAUUACUCAUAAAAGAUAGAAAAAAAAGGAAAAUAUGACAAUUUUUCAGCAGUACGUAUUUUUUUAACCUUUGUAUUUUGUUUAUACAAUCAAAAAGUGAUUAUGAACCAGAAAUUUCUAUUAAAUAUUGUAAGCUAAAUAUUUAUAUUAAGUACAUCCUCAAUUAUAUAAAUCAAUCAAACAUGUAAUGAGUAACAAACCUUGACAUUAAUUAGUUUAGAAAGAUAUGUAUUGAACAUCAAAAUUAAUUAAAUAUAUACUUAUAUCCUAAAGAACAUAAAAUGUCAUCUUCUAUAUUCUGAUAAUUAAACGAUUAACAUAAGUUAUAUAGAUUAAAAAAUAUGCUAAAAUACUAAUUAUAAGUAGAAAAUGAAAAAGAAAAAAAGAAAAAAGAAUAAUUACAAGAAAAUGAAAAAGAAAAAAAGAAAAUAGAAUAAUUACAAGACAAUGAAAAUGAGACCGUAUGUAUUAAAGGAAACCAACCCAAUCAUUUUUCUAGUGUUACAUUAGCACCAACUUUAUUAUUGUGAGAUCCUCAUAAUCCUAACAAACAUCUCAAUCUCAUCAAAACAAUACGAAAAACCCUAUCAUAAUCAUUGGUGAUGCAAGAAUAAAAUUGAAAAUAAGAGGAAACACAGAUGAAUAGAGUGACAAAAUAAACAAGUUAGAGAUGUGUAACCUUCAAAAGAUCAACCUAUAUCAGAAAUCACUUGAUUCGUACAUUUGAUAGAUAAGAAAGAAAAUUACUCAUAAAAGAUAGAAAAAAAAGGAAAAUAUGACAAUUUUUCAGCAGUACGUAUUUUUUUAACCUUUGUAUUUUGUUUAUACAAUCAAAAAGUGAUUAUGAACCAGAAAUUUCUAUUAAAUAUUGUAAGCUAAAUAUUUAUAUUAAGUACAUCCUCAAUUAUAUAAAUCAAUCAAACAUGUAAUGAGUAACAAACCUUGACAUUAAUUAGUUUAGAAAGAUAUGUAUUGAACAUCAAAAUUAAUUAAAUAUAUACUUAUAUCCUAAAGAACAUAAAAUGUCAUCUUCUAUAUUCUUAUAAUUAAACAAUUAACAUAAGUUAUACAUAUUAAAAAUAUGCUAAAAUACUAAAUAUAAGUAGAAAAUGAACGAGAGAAAAAGAAAAUAGAAUAAUUACAAGAAAAUGAAAAACAAAAAAGAAAAUAUAAUAAUUACAAGAAAAUGAAAAUGAGACCGUAUGGUAUAAAGGAAACCAACUCAAUCAUUUUUCCAGUGUUACAUUAGCAUCACCUUUAUUAUUGUGAGAUCCUCAUAAUCCUUACAAACAUCUCAAUAUCAUAAAAACGAUAUGAAAAACCCUAUCAUAAUCAUUGGUGAUGGAAGAAUAAAAUUGAAAAUAAGAGGAAACACAGAUGAAUAGAGAGACAAAAUAAACAACUUAGAGAUGUGUAACCUUCAAAAGAUUAACCUAUAUCAGAAAUCAAUUGAUCCGUACAUUUGAUAGAUAAGAAAGAAAAUUACUCAUAAAAGAUAGAAAAAAAAGGAAAAUAUGACAAUUUUUCAGCAGUACGUCUUUUUUUAACCUUUGUAUUUUGUUUAUACAAUCAAAAAGUGAUUAUGAACCAGAAAUUUCUAUUAAAUAUUGUAAGCUAAAUAUUUAUAUUAAGUAAAUCCUCAAUUAUAUAAAUCAAUCACACAUGUAAUGAGUAACAAACCUUGACAUUAAUUAGUUUAGAAAGAUAUGUAUUGAACAUCAAAAUUAAUUAAAUAUAUACUUAUAUCCUAAAGAACAUAAAAUGUCAUCUUUUAUAUUCUGAUAAUUAAAUAAUUAACAUAAGUUAUAUAGAUUAAAAAAUAUGCUAAAAUAUUAAUGAUAAGUAGAAAAUGAAAAAGAAUAAUUACAAGAAAAUGAAAAAGAAAAAAAGAAAAUAGAAUAAUUACAAGAAAAUGAAAAUGAGACAGUACGUAUUAAAGGAAACCAACUCAAUCAUUUUUCCAGUGUUACAUUAGCACCACCUUUAUUAUUGUGAGAUCCUCAUAAUCCUAACAAACAUCUCAAUCUCUUCAAAACAAUACAAAAAACCCUAUCAUAAUCAUUGGUGACGUAGGAAAAAAUUGAAAAUAAGAGGAAACACAGAUGAAUAGAGCGACAAAAUAAACAUGUUAGAGAUGUGUAAGCUUCAAAAUAUCA